rnacentral:lncRNA from 10 species
AUGGACUUGAUGCGCCUGCCUCUUCCCUCCCUGUGACACCCAUUCCCCCAUCCUCACCUGAGACCACAAUGUGUUGUGUUUGGCACCCAAGCCUUCUGGUUUCCAGUGAGUUCUUGGUGCUCACCAGGCCUCCUGAGGGGCCUCCCUUGCUUGACACAGGGCAGAGGAGCAAUGACUGGACCUGGGUCCCAAGGGCUGGGCAUUCCCCUGGGCCGGGUACCCCUGUCGGCUGGGCACCCCUGUCAGCUCAGCACCCCCCUGGGCUUGGCACCACUGUGGGCUGAGCCUCUGCUAGGAGUCCAGGCCCCUCUUAGGUGAGAGCUUGAAACUGACCUCACAGGGGAGAAUUUUGUGCGCCUUUCUUGUUCCUUUCAACCCUCCAGGACUAUUAUUUGGAAGAAGUAUAGGCAGAUUCCACUACAUGGUUACCAGUCUGAGUGUCUGGAAGAGCAUAUUUGAAACUUGGGGAUCCUCUUGAGUCUUCAGGAUCCCUGGAUAAGCGGCUCCAAACUCCACAGAGAAGCAGCUGGUCUCCUUCACUGAGAAAUCCCUCAGAUCCUCUUCUCUGUGGAUUUCAAAAGACAGGCCAUCUCCUCCCAUUUCAAUACACAUUUCUCACUUGAUUCUAGAACUUUCUUGUGCACUUCAGUCUUAGCUUCUCCCAGAACCCAACCUAAGGUUAAUUGGAGCUUUAGUGGUCAGUGGGGUUUUCCCAGAAGCAGCCCUACAACAAGAAUGUUGAAGAUAAACAUUUGAUUUGGGAGGUGAUCCCGGGAAGUAAUGGUAUAAAGACCAGGACUGAUCAUGUGACCACCGUGGGCGACUAAGGCUCCAGUGCUGCAGACUCUGGGGCAAUGCCUGAGUUAUUCCUCUAAGGGGUGAGGGGGUAGCCACAUGUGUUAUCAUCCACUGUUGCACACAAUUUGGAUACCCCUGGACGGCCACAUCUGCAUGUGGGUGAGGUGAGCUCAGGAGAAGAGACACAGGUGCUGGCAGCCAAAGUGAGUUCAUGCUCCCUGAUGUGGCAUGGCCUGAGGGCAUGGGUAGGCACUGCCAGCAGCUUCUACACCUUCUGGGGGAGGAACACAGCCUAUCUAAGGCUGGAAUAGAUUGUUCAAACUGUUCCAUGUGGCAGGAGCCAGGGCUGCAAUAGAAAAGAAGAUUCCAAAAGGCUCUCUAGAGAAGGCUGGGCAAACAGAGCUGGAUGCGAAGUGAGAGAAGGUUUAUUAUAACUCAGCACAAGCCCAUCCCAUCCACAUUCCAGGCAAAUCCACCCCAUAGAGACAGGUUGUCCUGCCAUGCGGCCGAGCCACAGCAGGCCUCUGGGCGCCAAGAGCCUGGGCUGGAGCAUAGAGGAUGUGGAGCCCCACUCUGUAGGUUCUGGGACUCCUGAGUUUGUUUCGGCCCCCACAGAGCUGUCCUGGCUAUGGUUCCCAGAGAGCCUCACUGCAUAAGGCUGCCCUUUUUCUUUUCUUCCUGUGAAUAGCACCAAGCCAUUUUGAAACAAGAAUUCCUUAAAAUAGUUUUUGUUUAAAGAAACAAGAAGCACCAUCUCUUUAUCGACUGUAUGUUAACAGCAGUCAGCCAGUGAGCAGAAGCUUCUUUCAGCUUCAGGGCCUGAGGCUUGCAGGGGGACCCCCAGACCUCACCCACCCAGGGAGCUGCUUUCUCAUAGGCACAUCCCACAAAUACUCCAGACACUAGAUGACAUUUUUAUAGGUUUCUGUUUCCCUAUAUAGUGAAGUUGUUAUUGCAGAAAUGAGAGGACACUUUUGCAAAUGACCAGAAGUCUGCACUUUCUAGGGGUGUCUUCUGGAGCUGCACUGAGCCACCGAGCAGCGCUGUCUGAUAGAACCUUCUGCACUGAUGGCAAUGUUCUUGCACCACGAGUGGUCGCUGAGCACGCAACAUGUGGUUCCUGAGCAACCGGACAUACACUGGGCUCUGGUUGCUGGGACACCAGAGUUGAGAGGUCAGCAUAGGAGGCUCCACUCACUUCGGUCCUGUGACAAUGGACUCAUGACCAUUCAUGACAUCUCCAGCCUUGAUGCCCCACCCCCACUACUGCCCAUGAGUCUUAUGUUAAAAAUAACAAUGAACGACAAGAACUGGGGCUCUGCAGUCAGAAGGACAACAUAUGUUUUCCAUUUUCUUCUUUCUCUUCCCUGCUUCUCUAAAAGUGGAUUAAAUAUGAAAAAGCACUUCCCGAACGCUUGGGAGACACUGGGAAGGAUUGUCCAAUGGAGAAAUUAUUCUCCAGAGAAUUUCUUAAAAGCCACUUGUUUUUAAGAAAACACAUAAAACUCUUAAUUAUAAAAUUCACACAUAUUCGUUAAAGAAAACUUGGAAAACACAGAUGAAUAUAAAGAAAGAAAAAUGCAUUGACAUUCUACUCAAAGAAUCUUCACUAAACGUUUGCUAUAGUCCUUUUCAAUUUUUUUUUCCUAUGCACAAAAAAUGUAUAUUUUUGUUUGCCUGCUGUAGUUAUAACUAUAUAUUUUAGGGUGAUUGUAUGAUUGUGGUGGGAAGAUUCAAACCCUCCCUGGGGUCAAAGGAAUGAUUUGAGAUCCCUACUUUUCAAACCUUCUGGGUAUAAAGGACCUGUUUUUUUUUAAAUUUCCAACCCAUCACUGACCACAUAUGAAGCAGCACGCUAUGUGUCACUGACCUUGUGGGUUCACUGUCGCCCCACCUGGGUCAUGUUGAGUCCAGCAGACACUUGAUUGGGUGCCAGAGCAAUGUCAGAUUGCUCUAAAAGUUUCUAAGCAAUCACUCUGCUUCCACACUGAUUUCUUUAUGGCAGAACUGGCCUGACCAUGAUCACCAAACUACAGCCCUUGGGCCAAAUCCUGCCUACCACUAGGUGUGAGCUAAGGAUGGUUUUUAUAUUUUAAAUGGUUGGGGGAAAAAAUCAGAACAAUGUUUCAUGACAUGAAAAUUCCAAGAAAUUCAAAUUUAAAAAAUUCAAAUUUCAAAAAUCAAUGAAAUUCAAUUUUGAAAAGUCUCUUCGAGAUA